rnacentral:rRNA from 1 species
AGGGAAUCUUCCACAAUGGACGAAAGUCUGAUGGAGCAACGCCGCGUGGAGGAUGAAGGCCUUCGGGUUGUAAACUCUUGUCUUCUGGGACGAUAAUGACGGUACCAGAGGAGGAAGCCACGGCUAACUACGUGCCAGCAGCCGCGGUAAUACGUAGGUGGCAAGCGUUGUCCGGAUUUACUGGGCGUAAAGGAUGCGUAGGCGGAUAUUUAUGUGGGAUGUGAAAUACCCGAGCUCAACUUGGGUGCUGCAUUCCAAACUGGAUAUCUAGAGUGCGGGAGGGGAGAGUGGAAUUCCUAGUGUAGCGGUGAAAUGCGUAGAGAUUAGGAAGAACACCAGUGGCGAAGGCGACUCUCUGGACCGUAACUGACGCUGAGGCAUGAAAGCGUGGGGAGCAAAC